rnacentral:rRNA from 1 species
AGUGAACGCUGGCGGUAGGCCUAACACAUGCAAGUCGAACGGCAGCACAGUAAGAGCUUGCUCUUACGGGUGGCGAGUGGCGGACGGGUGAGGAAUACAUCGGAAUCUACUUUUUCGUGGGGGAUAACGUAGGGAAACUUACGCUAAUACCGCAUACGACCUACGGGUGAAAGCAGGGGAUCUUCGGACCUUGCGCGAUUGAAUGAGCCGAUGUCGGAUUAGCUAGUUGGCGGGGUAAAGGCCCACCAAGGCGACGAUCCGUAGCUGGUCUGAGAGGAUGAUCAGCCACACUGGAACUGAGACACGGUCCAGACUCCUACGGGAGGCAGCAGUGGGGAAUAUUGGACAAUGGGCGCAAGCCUGAUCCAGCCAUACCGCGUGGGUGAGGGAGGCCUUCGGGUUGUAAAGCCCUUUUGUUGGGAAAGAAAAGCAGCAGGUUAAUACCCCGCUGUUCUGACGGUACCCAAAGAAUAAGCACCGGCUAACUUCGUG